GCAAAGGGCUGUAGCUCAGUGGCCCAGCAUCUGCCUUGCAUGCGGAAGGUUCCCGGUUCAAACCCUGGCCUCUCCA